rnacentral:rRNA from 1 species
UACAGAGGGUGCAAGCGUUGUUCGGAAUUACUGGGCGUAAAGCGAGUGUAGGCGGCCUAUUAAGUCAGAUGUGAAAUCCCUUGGCUCAACCGAGGAACUGCAUCUGAUACUGGUAGGCUGAGUGUCGGAGGGGAUGGUAGAAUUCCUGGUGUAGAGGUGAAAUUCGUAGAUAUCAGGAGGAAUACCUGUGGCGAAGGCGACCAUCUGGAAGACAACUGACGCUGAGACUCGAAAGCGUGGGUAGCAAACAGG